rnacentral:lncRNA from 1 species
GCAGGAGGGAGGGAAAAAUCUGGAGAAGUUUUGAAGUUUUAGCAGUUUUUCAACAAAAAAUCUGAAAGAUAGAGAGAGAUACUGAAAUCUGCAAUUCCAGGCAGCAAAAACUCCAAACAAAAACACUAUUCCAUUGAAAUUUCUUAGGAAAGUCUUGGGUUCUAGCUUCUUAGUCAAAUUUCCAAUCUCAUGAAGUUAAAAAAAUGGUGUGAAUUGUCUGGCGGUUUAGUGGCUAAUAUUCAGAGGUUCCUGAGGUUUAUUUCAAGUCAAUUUUGGGUCAUUCGAGCUUAUUUUUGGUUGUUUACUAGUUUUGCUAUCUGUAAUCAACUCAUGGAUCGCUUGACAAUAUUUUCAGGGUUUAAAAUCGACCUGAUUGCUGCUGUGCGUUGUUGUCUGCCUUACUGACUCAAUUUCACUUCAUUUUGUGCAAAUUUUCAGGUACUUUUGGCCUCAAGUGAUGUAUGAAGAUUAAAUAAAAUGUGUGUUCAAAGAUGAAGAUGAUUGCUACAUGUUCUUGCCCCUAUAAAUUCCCUACUUUUUUUUACUUUAUUGUAGAUGAUUGGCAUAGUCACGUUAUUUGGACAUUACACUAUCUGUAUUGACUGGAG